ACGAACGCUGGCGGCGUGCUUAACACCUGCAAGUCGCACGGAAAGGCCCUGCUUUUGUGGGGUGCUCGCGUGGCGAACGGGUGAGUAACACGUGAGUAACCUGCCCUUGACUUUGGGAUAACUUCAGGAAACUGGGGCUAAUACCGGAUAGGAGCUCCUGCUGCAUGGUGGGGGUUGGAAAGUUUCGGCGGUUGGGGAUGGACUCGCGGCUUAUCAGCUUGUUGGUGGGGUAGUGGCUUACCAAGGCUUUGACGGGUAGCCGGCCUGAGAGGGUGACCGGCCACAUUGGGACUGAGAUACGGCCCAGACUCCUACGGGAGGCAGCAGUGGGGAAUAUUGCACAAUGGGCGGAAGCCUGAUGCAGCAACGCCGCGUGCGGGAUGACGGCCUUCGGGUUGUAAACCGCUUUCGCCUGUGACGAAGCGUGAGUGACGGUAAUGGGUAAAGAAGCACCGGCUAACUACGUG
rnacentral:rRNA from 1 species